rnacentral:rRNA from 1 species
CAGGCCUAACACAUGCAAGUCGAGCGGUGAACCCUUCGGGGGGAUCAGCGGCGAACGGGUGAGUAACACGUGAGCAACCUGCCCCUGACUCUGGGAUAGCCUCGGGAAACCGGGAUUAAUACCGGAUAUGACACCUCCUCGCAUGGGGUGGUGUGGAAAGUUUUUCGGUCAGGGAUGGGCUCGCGGCCUAUCAGCUUGUUGGUGGGGUGAUGGCCUACCAAGGCGACGACGGGUAGCCGGCCUGAGAGGGUGACCGGCCACACUGGGACUGAGACACGGCCCAGACUCCUACGGGAGGCAGCAGUGGGGAAUAUUGCGCAAUGGGCGAAAGCCUGACGCAGCGACGCCGCGUGAGGGAUGAAGGCCUUCGGGUUGUAAACCUCUUUCAGCAGGGAAGAAG